CCCUCUCUCUCUCAAAAGGGUGAGGGAUGCUGUAUUUAUCCUCAUUCAUUUCUAACAGGGAUGUACUUCCUAAAAGCGUCUGUGUUAACGGGAGUUGGUGAUCAACAACUUCCAUACGCCAUCCAGCGUAUUUCGUAUCCUCAAUUGCCUUUUGCUGUUCUUGACCGAUGCAGCCUCUUGUGCGUUCCCUUAUAUGCCCAUCUUCCCCCAACUUGCAAAAUUUGUCCCUUUUGGAAGGUCUUAAUAACAUCCGUUAUCCCCUAAAAAAAUUGGUGCGGUGUGAGGGUUAGAAUUGCAGGCACCAAACCCUUGCACAGAUGACCUGCUCUUGAGUUGGGCUGGGUUGGGGAUAUGACAGCAUCUUUGCCAAGGUUAACUUGUAGACAGAGCCCAAGGAAAUAAAACAUGAAAGGGUCUGGUAUCCUCGGCAUACCCAUCCAAACUAGAGGACUUUUAUCGCUACUCUUUAUGAGGCAAGGGGGCUAUGGAAAGUGCAAAGGCUUAGAGUUAGGGAGACCCAGGUUUGAAUCACAAUUCCUGCGUGGUUUGGGGCAAGUCCUUAACCUCUCUCAACCAUCAGAUUUUUUUUUGCAAUUUUUGGCCAGGGCCGGGUUUGAACACAUCACCUCCGGUAUAUGGGGCUGGUGCCCUACUCUUUGAGCCACAGGCGCCGCUCUCAACCACCAGAUUUUCAUCUCUAAAGUAGGAGUGGCAGAAUUGCUAUGAGAUUUAAAAGUAAUGGGUGCAAAAUGCCCUGCAGAUAGUUGCCUGGCACGCAGAAAAGUCUUAAGAGAAUAUUUAUUCCCCCAAAUGCGACUGGCUGCUGUAGAUGGGCUAAUCUAAGUGGGGAUGGGAGAGUUAAAAGGCUGACUAUCUUGGAGAGUGUUAGAUAUUCUGAGUGACUACAAGCAAAAGCAGUCUUGGGUGAGACCGGAGGGAGGCAAAGAGAAAAAAACAGUGAUCAGAAAAAUGCUUUUCUGAAAUCCUUGCCAACAGUCCAGGAAAAUCUUUGAAUAAUCAGAGUCAAAGUCUCUCUUAAUACAUGCGAUCUGAAUUGCAGAAUAAACUCAGAUUUCGCCUCUCCCGUACUGUUCCCGUUAAUUUUUAUGGUGUUUAGACAAGCCCAAAGCAAGUGCUUUUAAUAACACGUUAGAGAAGACAUUUUAACUACUGCCACUCUGGGUAAAUUCCUCAAACUCCAAAUAGAAGCUGUAAACACAUGAGUAUAAAUAUGACAAUCAUUUGUUUAGCUGCAGCAAUUUUAGAUCCUUUUUGGCACGCUUCAAGGUACAGAGAUGUUUGUGGCUGAGUCAAAAGUAACUCAACUCUCACAUUGUUCAUCCCACAUUGACUAAGUUUCGGGCGAUAAAUAUCAACUUGGAGAACUGUCACGUUUGUACCCAAUAAUUGAGCUAUGGGAAACGGAAAAAUAAAGUUCAAAGUUUGCCUCCCUGGAGAGAGGGGGCUGGAGAAGAGGACAGCGGGCAAUUAUUUACGGAUAGUUUUACACAGAUACAAUUGUCACGGUUUUUAUCGGCCGACCAAAAGAUUUUCUAAGUUGUUUAUUUUGAUUAGAUGUGGCAUAAAUGCCACACGUGCGGUGCUCCUAAACUUUCCCAGAUUUGAAAUUUAAAUUUGUCUGUAAAGGUAUUUACUGAUCAUCUGGAACACGGAACUCUUAUUUUGCUGAAGAAAAACUAUUAAACUAUUACCAUUCUUCCCAAGGGAUGCUCUUGGAAGGGGGGAGGCAGGGAAAAGAGUGAUUUUCUUAUUCAGAUCCUAGAAGAAGCACUUCUCAAACUGAAUUUUCGUAGCAAGACAGAAAAAAAGUGGGCUUUGCACAUUCAAGUUCUUCCUAGAUGCCAGCCGCUACCCCAUGUCUGGCAGAGCUGUUAUAGGACAUGCAGAGAGAUCAAAAGAGUCCAAACAUUCAGCCAACAUCCAAAGGCCAGAAUCCAAGUUCUGAAAACAGGGGUGCAUAUCUGUCUAGCCAAUGAGAGGAUGCUCUGUAGAAAAAGCCUGAGCAAACAGUCAUCUUCAGGCUCCAAAGCAACCAGCAGCGAAACCCAAUUCCACAUGCAAACACACUCUCCACUGCAACGUGGAAGGAGACUUGCCUUUUGGAAGGAUUUAAGGAAAUGACCAUCUUGCUGCAAGGGAAAGAAGAAAAAGAGGUGGAGGCAACUACCCUUGCCGUGAAGGUUACAUAACAGCGAUAGCCUGCGUGGAAAUUCUUAGAGGAACUUAUCCAGGUAGAAGAAAGAGGCUGUGGAAAUGGCCAGUUGUUUUUACAUCCGUGAUUCUUACCAAGAAUUAUUCCCCAAACAUAAAUGCUAUUUUAAAUUCUUCUUGUGGAAUGAUAGGCAGAUUUUAAUUGUGACAUACAGUUUACUAAUCUUCAUCCUUAGUAACGUACAGGUUGAGCAUCCCUAAUCCGAACAUCGGAAAUUCUCCAAGAUGGUGCCACAAGUGGAAAGUUCCACACAUGAUUUCCUGGGACAGGUUGCAGUCAAAAGCAACCAAACCGUCUUUCGUGCAUAAAGCUAUUAAAAUAUUUUAUAAAAUUACUUUCAAAGUUACGUGUAUAAGGCAUAUAGGAAACAUAAAUAAAUUUGAUGUUUAGUCUUGGGUCUCAUCCCCAAGAUAGCUCAUUAUGUCUAUGCAGAUAUUCCAAAAUUUGAAACACUCCUGGUCCCAAGCAUUUUGGAUAAGAGAUACUCAACUUGUACUGAGUUAUUGAGGUUUACCAAAAUUUGGUAUACAUAAAGCAAAAACAGCAUGUUUCCUAUGGAAUGUGGGAAUUCUUUUUCCAGAAUAAAUAGGUUUCUGUCAAAAAAUGUUUGCAAACUCCAGCUUUAGACAAUUCUUUGGUGAUCUAUCAGUAUCUAUCCAAAGCUAAGCAUUAAUGUUUUUCAGAGUUCAGGGGGGAUAUACUUGGAUCAUAAGGCUCAUUUCAACAUGCUGCAGGCAAAGCUCAUUCAUUAGACAACACAAAGCAGGUGAGAUGAAAUGCAAGUCAAUAUUUUGCCUUUUAAAAUAUUAGUGCUGGAUUUUCACAACAGAGUGCUGGAAAAGGUAAGCGAUUUGCCAAGAAAGGCCCUCCUCAGCCACGUCAAAAGGACUCCAGGGUAGGUUGGCAGGUGGCAUCUUAGCAUGAAAUUAACACUCACCCCACCCCCAAAUCUUGAUUUUUAAAUAUGUUAUGGGAAGAAGCCUUCCUUCAUUUGAUCCUUGAACUGUUUAAUGGAUUUUGUCCCUAGUAGUUGAAU